rnacentral:rRNA from 1 species
CCUACGGGUGGCAGCAGUGAGGAAUAUUGGUCAAUGGACGCAAGUCUGAACCAGCCAUGCCGCGUGCAGGAAGACGGCUCUAUGAGUUGUAAACUGCUUUUGUACGAGGGUAAACUCCGAUACGCGUUCCUUUCUGAAUGUACCCUACGAAUAAGGAUCGGCUAACUCCGUGCCAGCAGCCGCGGUAAUACGGAGGAUCCAAGCGUUAUCCGGAUUUAUUGGGUUUAAAGGGUGCGUAGGCGGUCGGUUAAGUUAGGGGUGAAAUCCCGGGGCUCAACUUCGGAAUUGCCUCUGAUACUGUUGGGCUAGAGGGUAGUUGCGGUAGGCGGAAUGUGUGGUGUAGCGGUGAAAUGCUUAGAGAUCAUGCAGAACACCGAUUGCGAAGGCAGCUUACC